UCGAACGGUGAAAGAGAGCUUGCUCUCUGGAUCAGUGGCGAACGGGUGAGUAACACGUGAGCAAUCUGCCCCUGACUCUGGGAUAACAGUUGGAAACAGCUGCUAAUACCGGAUACGAGCUUCGAAGGCAUCUUCAGAAGCUGGAAAGAACUUCGGUCAGGGAUGAGCUCGCGGCCUAUCAGCUAGUUGGUGAGGUAAUGGCUCACCAAGGCGUCGACGGGUAGCCGGCCUGAGAGGGUGACCGGCCACACUGGGACUGAGACACGGCCCAGACUCCUACGGGAGGCAGCAGUGGGGAAUAUUGCACAAUGGGCGCAAGCCUGAUGCAGCAACGCCGCGUGAGGGACGACGGCCUUCGGGUUGUAAACCUCUUUUAGCAGGGAAGAAGCGAAAGUGACGGUACCUGCAGAAAAAGCGCCGGCUAACUACGUGCCAGCAGCCGCGGUAAUACGUAGGGCGCAAGCGUUAUCCGGAAUUAUUGGGCGUAAAGAGCUCGUAGGCGGUUUGUCGCGUCUGCUGUGAAAACUGGAGGCUCAACCUCCAGCCUGCAGUGGGUACGGGCAGACUAGAGUGCGGUAGGGGAGAUUGGAAUUCCUGGUGUAGCGGUGGAAUGCGCAGAUAUCAGGAGGAACACCGAUGGCGAAGGCAGAUCUCUGGGCCGUAACUGACGCUGAGGAGCGAAAGGGUGGGGAGCAAACAGGCUUAGAUACCCUGGUAGUCCACCCCGUAAACGUUGGGAACUAGUUGUGGGGUCCAUUCCACGGAUUCCGUGACGCAGCUAACGCAUUAAGUUCCCCGCCUGGGGAGUACGGCCGCAAGCU
rnacentral:rRNA from 1 species